GGCAGAAAACUAACUGAAAAACGAGAACCUACUGUAUGGUUAGUAAUUUCUUCCAUGUCAUACAAGUAUUCGAGAAAUCUGCUACCUUGAUUAGUAAGACUGAACACAUUGGUUUUGUCAUUUAUUCAUGGAGGAAGUCCACCACCCACUUGGGGAGCAGAAGGAAAUUUGCCAUCUCAAUUUACUUAUCAGAAGUUUCUUUGCAGAAAUAUGAUUGUCCCUUCAGUGGGACAUCAUUUGUGGUCUUCUCUCUCUUUUUGAUCUGUGCAAUGGCUGGAGAUGUAGUCUACGCUGACAUCAAAACUGUUCGGACUUCCCCGUUAGAACUCGCGUUUCCACUUCAGAGAUCUGUUUCUUUCAACUUUUCUACUGUCCAUAAAUCAUGUCCUGCCAAAGACUGGAAGGUGCAUAAGGGAAAAUGUUACUGGAUUGCUGAAACUAAGAAAUCUUGGAACAAAAGUCAAAAUGACUGUGCCAUAAACAAUUCAUAUCUCAUGGUGAUUCAAGACAUUACUGCUAUGGUGAGAUUUAACAUUUAGAGGUGACAGCAUCCCCCACACUGGCAGUGAAUUUUUUGUGCUACAAACUUGGCAAAAGUCUGUGAAAAGAAGUUUCAACUUCAUGUGUUAUUAACUAUACAAAUAUUAGUUGAAUGAAUUGUUGAAUUACAUGAU
ensembl:lncRNA CLECL1P C-type lectin like 1, pseudogene